UACGUAGGGGGCAAGCGUUGUCCGGAAUCAUUGGGCGUAAAGCGCGUGUAGGCGGCUGAGUAAGUCUGCUCUGAAAACUCGGGGCUCAACCCCGAGCCUGCAGUCGAUACGGGCAGACUAGAGUGCUGUAGGGGAGACUGGAAUUCUUGGUGUAGCGGUGAAAUGCGUAGAUAUCAAGAGGAACACCUGAGGUGAAGACGGGUUGCUGGGCUGACACGUGACGCUGGAGGCGCGAAAGCCAGGGGAGCAAACGGG
rnacentral:rRNA from 1 species